rnacentral:rRNA from 1 species
CAGUGUGGAGGAAUAACCUCAUGUGAAAACUGGUGCUUAAUUACCGCAUAACAUGACUGAUGCGCACGAUGCUGUUCGUCUUCAAAGGCGCAAGUCGUCAGCAAUGAUGGGAUCCGCGGUCCGGAUUAGCCUUGUUGGCCGCAGGUUAAUGGCUCACCAAGGCAUUGCAUCUGCGUAGCCGGAUCUUGAUGAGGUUGGCCGGCCACACUGGAACUUGAGACACGGUCCAGACUCAAACGGGAGGCACGCAGUGGGGAACUCUUGCACAAUGGACGAAAGUCUGAUGCAUCUAACGCCGCGUGGGGGAUGAAGCUUCUCGGAGUGUAAACCCCUUUCGACCCGGAAGAAUGCCCGCAAGGGUUUGACGGUACGGGUAUAAGAAGCCCCUGGCUAACUACGUGCCAGCAAUGCCGCGGUAAUACGUAUGGGGGCCAGCGUUAGCUCGGAAUUACUGGGCGUAACAGGGUCUGUAGGCGGUGCGGCCAAGUCGAUAGUGAAAUCCCUAGGCUUAACCUAGGGGCUGCUAGCGAAACUGCCGUGCUAGAGUGUGAGAG